rnacentral:rRNA from 1 species
AUUGAACGCUAGCGGCAUGCUUAACACAUGCAAGUCGAGCGAGUGGCGGACGGGUGAGUAAUGUCUGGGAAACUGCCCGAUGGAGGGGGAUAACUACUGGAAACGGUAGCUAAUACCGCAUACCAUCAGAUGUGCCCAUAUGGGAUUAGCUAGUAGGUGGGGUAAUGGCUCACCAAGGCGACGAUCCCUAGCUGGUCUGAGAGGAUGACCAGCCACACUGGGACUGAGACACGGUCCAGACUCCUACGGGAGGCAGCAGUGGGGAAUAUUGCACAAUGGGCGCAAGCCUGAUGCAGCCAUGCCGCGUGUAUGAAGAAGGCCUUCGGGUUGUAAAGUACUUUCAGCGGGGAGGCGUUACCCGCAGAAGAAGCACCGGCUAACUCCGUGCCAGCAGCCGCGGUAAUUC